CGGAGCGCCACCGCCUGGUGCUUCGACGGGCCCGCGGUGUUCUGGAAGGUUAUGUCCCUGGCCAAGAACCCGUCCCCAACUACAGCUGCAAGCAUUUCAGAUCCAAUCAAAGAUCCGGAAGCGACCCGUUGUCUCGAGAUCUUAAGCGCACGUGGCAUUGUGAAAAUUUUCAAUAAACGACAAUUAUGACGGAAAGAGACAAGACAGAUUAGUUUCGAAAAGAACGAGCAGAGAAGAGCGAGAGGUACACACUUACCAACAGUUGCGGAGUUGAAUGUGGUGCUGCCGUCCACGACGUUUCUGCUUCCGGUGAUGAUGGUGCUGGUCCUCCCGUCUCCCAUGAACAUCAGGUUGGUCUUCUUCUUCGGGACCUCCACGUUUUCCCUGUACACCCCCGCCUUUAUCCUUAUAAUGUACCUCCUCGCGCUCCCCUCCGGCGCAGCCGCCACCGCUGCGGA